UCCUCCCCGCAGCCAGGUCCCUCUAGGCAUCAACAGCUGGAAACCUCUGUUGGAGAGGAAAGAGCUAAGGUUCCUGGGCGGCGGGAGUGGGUGGAGGUGGAGUGAGUGGAUGGACAGAAUAGAAGAAAGAGGUGGAUUCUGCCCACUCCCACUGCCAAGGUAUGAGGUCACUACGGAGGCGCUUCACUCCUUAGAGUAAGACUCAAGAAGAAGUCCUUGGUCCAACUCCCAGCCUCCUAACCCCUCCAGAUAGAUAACCUGGAUUUGGGGAUUUAAAACAAACAAACAAACAAACAAAAACAAAACGGUUUCGAGUUCCUGUCGUGGCUCAGCGGUAACAAAUCUGACUAGUAUCCAUGAGGACACCAGUUCGAUCCCUGGCCUUGCUCAGUGGUUUAGGGAUCCUGCGUUGCCCUGAGCUGUGGGAUAGGUCGCAGCUGUGGCUCUAUCCCGCAUUGCUGUGGUUGUAGCUCUGAGUUUACCCCUAGCCUGGGAACUUCCAUAUGCCACAGGAGCACCCCCAAAAAGACAAAUAAAUAAGUAAAUAAAUAAAUAAACCUGGUUUCAGAACUUCCCUUAGGAACCUGAUCCUAUCUGCUGCUACACUGCUUCCUGAUGUGUCAGACUUCUCCCUAGUCCUGUCAUUUUGCACUGUCUCAAGUUCUUAUUUUUUUCCCCUGACCUGUGUGACAUGGGGAUGGGGGGGAAACAGAUUCCUUUAAAUCAAUGUAUUUAUUAAAUACCUGUGUCUGGCCUAAGUGGGUGCUGGGGACACCAGGAUGAAUGAGAGAGUGCCCUGCCCUUUCCAGGAGACAGAUGAGUGAAUGUAUGAUUACAGUGAAGUGGAGGAGUGUUGAGAUCUCAGCCAGGCCCAUGAGGCAAGGGGACCAUCAAGGGCACUAGGUCCGGGUCAGGGUUCAGAGUCUUGGAGGAGGUGUCAUCUGAACUGGGUCUUGGAAUGCAGAACAGGGUAAAGGUGUGGCAAUCCUGGGAUUGCAAAUAACACUGUGCCCACAGUGCAGGCGGCCACCAUGUGAUGAUCAGCCAGGCUCUAAGACCUUGUAAAGCUUUGGCUUUCAACCUCUCCCACUACCAUCCUCCACUAACUCCUUUUAGUCAUCUUUUAGGUCUCAGCCCAGAGCAUUUCUUGACGGCUAAAUCUGGGUCAGGUGUCCCAUUUCUGUGUGGGCUCUAUGCAUAGUCGUAGAUACGAUGCUAAUUGUUCAUUUGGCUGACUCCACCAACUGGACUGUAAGGGCAGAGAUGUGUCUGGUUAACAAAUCUGACUAGGAACCAUGAGGUUGCAGGUUCGAUCCCUGGCCUUGCUCAGUGGGUCAAGGAUCCCACGGCAUUGCUGUGGCUGUAGCGUAGGCCGGCAGCUGCAGCUCCGAUUGGAUCCCUAGCCUGGGAACCUCCAUAUGCCGUGGGAGUGGCCCUAGAAAAGGC
rnacentral:lncRNA from 1 species